rnacentral:rRNA from 1 species
GACGAACGCUGGCGGCGUGCUUAACACAUGCAAGUCGAACGGUGAACCUCUUCGGAGGGGAUCAGUGGCGAACGGGUGAGUAACACGUGGGCAACCUGCCCCCGGCUCUGGGAUAACUCCAAGAAUUUGGGGCUAAUACCGGAUGUUCACAGCUUCCCGCAUGGGUGGUGGUGAAAAGGGUGUGCGGCUGGGGAUGGGCCCGCGGCCUAUCAGCGUGUUGGUGGGGUAGUGGCCUACCAAGGCGACGACGGGAAGCCGGACUGGGAGGGUGACCGGCCACACUGGGACUGAGAAACGGCCCAGACUCCGACGGGAGGAAGCAGUGGGGAAUAGUGCGCAAUGGGCGGAAGCCUGACGCAGCGACGCCGCGUGGGGGAUGACGGCCUUCGGGUUGGAAACCUCUUUCAGCAGGGACGAAGCGAAAGUGACGGUACCUGCAGAAGAAGCACCGGCCAACUACGUG